rnacentral:lncRNA from 1 species
AAGAAUCAAAUCAAAUAAAAACUAUAUUUUUCUAAAAUUAGAACCCGUCAACUUCUUUCCAUGCCACAAAAUCUGAAAUUUAUCUUAACAUGCAAGAGAGAUGAAAGAAAACUCAUAUUACUCAAGUAUUCAAAUAAAUUUACAACUUUAAACAAAUUUACAACUUUAAACGCCCCUAAAAAAGAUUUUAAGGUGGUUUUUAUGUUACCUUAGAAAAAUUACAAGGAGAUGACAUGGUCAUAAUUUAAUCUUGAGAGUUUUUUCCCCUUUUCUUGUAAUUGAAGCCUGAACUUUUUCUCUUCAAUAAUCGUCUCCUUCACCCACCAAUGGGUUAUUUCUAUUUUCUCUCCCUUUCACGGAUCCUCUCACCAUUCUCUCUCUCCUUUCUUUUCUUCCUUUUGUCUCAUCUCACCUCUCAUCUACUCUCUUGCUCUUCUUUUUUUCUUCUUUCCUCUCAUUUUUUCCCUUCUUAUGAUUUUACAGUGUUUCUCCAUACACAUUCAUUAUUUCUAUUCUUAUUUAUAUUAUUAAUUUCUAUUUCUAUAUUCUAUUUCCUAAUCCUAAAC